CCGGAGGAGGAGACGUUGGUGUCUAGAAGCCCACCGCUCAGCUCCAAGUCUGAGCCCACCUGCAGUCAAGUCUGACCCUGGAAGAGGGGUCUGAUGGGCUUCAAGCGGUGGUUACCACAGCUCAAGGCUCACUGGAUGGGCUCGGGCAGCGCACAGGGUUCAGACACCCCACGUCCCAGUGUCCCAGUGAAGGGUGUCUGAGGGACGGAAACGAACACCCCAGGAAGGGCUGGGCCCACAGGGCCAGGCCCAGGAGGGACACUGAGGCAGAGCUCCGUCCCCUGGGUGCCGGGGCGCCCUCUCCCAUGCCAGGCCCCAGCGCUCAUUCCCUGCGGCCUCCGCGCGCUCUGGGUCCCGGCGCGUCCCCCGCGGCCCUUCCGGGUUUCACGGAGGCUGCGCAGGCGCGGGGCGCGAGGCGCCGACCGCAGGCGAGGGUGCGAGGGCCCGACCCGAGCCAGGCCUGCGGCCCCUCCGCCCAGGCUGCCCCUUCUGGCCCGGGCAUCCGAGAAAUUUUCACGGGAAAGAGUUGGAAAAAAAAUCCCCCGAAGGCCGUGAAUUUUGCCUUGGAAAGUGGAAACCUGUAUAACUGAAGAUAAAUGCACAGGAUUUCCUGGUUGGGGAUUUGUUGCAGCAUCAAGUGAAAGAUAUGAAUCAACUUCUGUUUCUUCUUGUCGCUUCAUCUGAAUUCCUCCGCAGAGCUUCUGCAAGUCUUGCUGUUUCUUGUUCAUCUGGCUUAGAACUGGUAAUAAAGGGCCUGGUGUACAGGAAGCACUCAUAAAAAUAUCUGCUGAACAGAAAGAAGAAUGGACCUUGCUCAAGGUCUCAGAGCGAGUGAGUGGCAAACCCAGCGUUCAAACCCAAGCCUCUUCUUUCAGGUCACUUGUGCUGGAGGGUAGCCAGCUCCCAGGUGGUUGAUGAACUCAAGCAGUCCCAUGAAAAGGCCAGUGUGACAAGCGACUCCGGCCUUCUGCCAGCGUCCGUGAGUGAAUUAUGCUGGGGGCCAGUCCUCCUACUCCUGCUAAGCCUUUGGAUGACUGUUGCUUGGAGGAUGUUCACUAUACCCCCAGGAGGGAUUCUGAGCCAGAACUCAGCUGUGUUAACUCAGUUGACCCACAGAGACUGCGAGGAGGUAGCUGUUCAUUGCUUUCCCAUGGUAAGUUUUGAGGGUCAUUUGUUACACAGCAACAGAUACAUAGUACACUAUGUAUCAGAUUCUCUCUGUACCAGGAAAGAUACGUUUUCCCUCCCCUACACAAUCCUAUUCCCAGACUGGCCAUGGCAUGAUUUCUAUCAUUGAGCUUUAUACCCUGCUAAAUAAAUAGGCUUCUGUGAACAGCCUUGGAAUGUAACCACUAUUAGAAACCUUAUUUCUGUGUAUUCAGUUUUUUAAACAAUAGACAAAUGAACUUCUGAAACAUGACCCACUUACAAUCUUGAUGCUGCCUGUAAUUCUGCUGGCUGUUGCUUUAGUAUAUCUUUCUUGUAUAAAAGACUUUAUACUUUAUUCCUGUCUGAGAACGUUUCUAUGUGGCAGAUUGAACACUCACCAGCCAUUUAGCCUGUCUCUCGGCUAGGUGACGUGUAAGGUACAGAUUGUUUAGGUGACAGCAGAGACCUGUCAGUUCAGCUGAAAGACACAUAUCUAGGGGCAGAGAAUUGAGAGAGACACAAAAUAGCCCAUGUCAAAACUUGGUUUUGGGGUCCAAUUAUCUCUUGAGGAAAAAAUGAUGAUACUAAAAAUAAUACCACAGCUAAUAUUUACUUAAGGCUUGUUUAUGUACCAGGGACUAUGCAGGAGGUACCUGAUUCAUCCUUAACAACAUCACGAAAAAGGUAGUGAUUAACUUUUAACAUGGGCCUUGGAGUCAGACUGUUUGUGUUUGAAUCUACUUACAGUCAUAUGCUGUCUGGCAAUCUAUUAGCCUCUUUGUUUGCUUACCUAUAAAAUAGGGAUAUAAUUAUAUUACCCAUAUCACAGGGCUGUGGUAAGGAUUAAAUCAAAUAAUGCAUGUGAAGCACGUGGAACUUAGCACACACAGCUCCUAGCAUGUAGUAAGUACUCCACUAAAUUCAGUUCUUAGACAUUGACGUUUGGCCUGGUGGAGAGAUGUCUGUCCCACAUCGGAGUCCUGAGGUUCAAUUCCCAGCUCUGGCUGUGGCUCCUGACUCCCAAUUCCCUGCUCAGGUGCACCUUGGAAAGCAGCAGUGUUGGUUCAAUGAAUGGGUGCUCAUGCAGCCUGGAUUGGGCUCCUGGCUUCUGGCAAAGUCAUAAGGGUAUGUGGGUAGUGAGUCAGCGAUCAGAUCUAGCUCUCUUAUCUCUCAAACUAG